UGGGGAAUCUUGGACAAUGGGCGAAAGCCUGAUCCAGCCAUGCCGCGUGGAUGAUGAAGGCCCUAGGGUUGUAAAAUCCUUUCGUUGGGGACGAUAAUGACGGUACCCAAAGAAGAAGCUCCGGCUAACUUCGUGCCAGCAGCCGCGGUAAUACGAAGGGGGCUAGCGUUGUUCGGAUUUACUGGGCGUAAAGCGCGUGUAGGCGGAUUUGUAAGUUGGGGGUGAAAUCCCGAGGCUCAACCUCGGAACUGCCUCCAAAACUACAAGUCUGGAGCAAGAUAGAGGCAAGUGGAAUUGCGAGUGUAGAGGUGAAAUUCGUAGAUAUUCGCAGGAACACCAGUGGCGAAGGCGACUUGCUGGAUCUUUGCUGACGCUGAGACGCGAAAGCGUGGGGAGCAAACAGG
rnacentral:rRNA from 1 species